rnacentral:rRNA from 1 species
UAAAUAGCUAGGCUUAACAUUGUUAGGUCGUCAGCUUCUUAGAGGGACUAUCGGUGUUUAACCGAUGGAAGUUUGAGGCAAUAACAGGUCUGUGAUGCCCUUAGAUGUUCUGGGC